UACGUAGGGUGCAAGCGUUAAUCGGAAUUACUGGGCGUAAAGCGUGCGUAGACGGUUUUGUAAGUCGGAUGUGAAAUCCCCGGGCUCAACCUGGGAAUUGCAUUCGAGACUGCAAGGCUUGGGUGCGGAAGAGGGAAGCGGAAUUUCCGGUGUAGCGGUGAAAUGCGUAGAUAUCGGAAGGAACAUCAGUGGCGAAAGCGGCUUCCUGGUCCAGCACCGACGUUCAGGCACGAAAGCGUGGGGAGCAAACAGG
rnacentral:rRNA from 1 species